rnacentral:telomerase_RNA from 1 species
AGCCCAGUUUCACUUUCGAUAGGUUGUGGACCGCUCACGGUUAGCACCCUCAACCCUAAACACUUGGGAUUUAUCCCUUGCCCGGUCUAGCACCCGGCGUAACGGGGGGGUCUUUUCACGAGAGCUUUCCUCCCAACGCAAAUAAAAAAAGCUCAGGCCCAUCGAAACUGUGCCUCGGCCGCAGGCGGGGAGAGGCGCAGCACGUGGCCUCGUGUCAAUUGCUACAGCAGUUUGCCUGCGAAGCCUCUCGAGUCCCCAGCGUACGCCAAGUCAGCCAGACUCUUUUUCG